GUCCAUGCCCUCAACUUGAUUACCUCUCAAAAGAGGCCGCCAACUGACAACCAGGGGUGAUUUGUCAUGCCUGCUGCUUUGGACUGAUUGAGCACAUUUGUCUGAUCAGCUUCUGCAUCUUUUUGAGGAAGCAACCGGCAGGAUGAUCGACAAACUGGACAUCUGCUUUUACGUGAUUAAAAUGAGGUA